CCGAGGAGAGAUCCUCGGGGCUUCUGCGUCCGUAGGUGAACCUGCGGAAGGAUCAUUAAAAAAAGGAUACCGGGCAACCGGUAGAUCCCACCCGUGUCUCUCUACUCUUGUUGCUUUGGCAGGCCGUGGCCUCCACCGCGGGCUCUGCCUGCGUGUGCCUGCCAGAGGACCAAACUCUGAAUUUUAGUAAUGUCUGAGUAACUAUAUAAUAGUUAAAACUUUCAACAACGGAUCUCUUGGUUCUGGCAUCGAUGAAGAACGCAGCGAAAUGCGAUAAGUAAUGUGAAUUGCAGAAUUCAGUGAAUCAUCGAAUCUUUGAACGCACAUUGCGCCCGGUGGUAUUCCGCCGGGCAUGCCUGUUCGAGCGUCAUUAUAACCACUCAAGCCUGGCUUGGUAUUGGGGUUCGCGGUUCCGCGGCCCCUAAAAUCAGUGGCGGUGCCGGUGGGCUCUAAGCGUAGUAAAUCUCCUCGCUAUAGGGUCCCUCCGGUUGCCUGCCAGAACCCCCCAUUUCUUCAGGUUGACCUCGGAUCAGGUAGGGAUACCCGCUGAACUUAAGCAUAUCAAUAAGCGGAGG
rnacentral:rRNA from 1 species